ACUUAGUUAAAUGUUACCACUAAUUGACAGCAGUGUUGUGCUUCCUGCAGUGAGGAGGAUGGUGGUUGGAGUGCAGGUGGUGGAGGAGGUCGCUUUUGAAGACACAAUCGAAGUGAUAACGGAGGACAUAUACACGGAUGAUCUGCUGGACCCCGAGCUGCUGCAGGACGCCCAGCUCUACCCCACAUGAACCCUGAAGCAAGAUCCUUUUAUUUGUCCUGCAACGGGACAUUUACAUUAUUACAAUAGAGAGUAUAGACUUACAUGUGGUACACGCCUCAGUAUCCACACUUUAUUCGAUAACUCAAUAAGUAAAUGAAGGACAUCAUAAAUACAAAUUGGCUCAUCUUACUCUCCCCAAUGUUUCAAAUGUGUUGACUGUUUUCUUACAACAGUCAAUAUUAGGUUAUCUUAUGUAUGAUUUCAUUUUUAAUAUGGAAAAAUAUAAUGUAAUAUAAUAUGUAAUAAAAUGAUCAAACAAA